rnacentral:rRNA from 1 species
GACGAACGCUGGCGGCGUGCCUAACACAUGCAAGUCGAGCGAAGUGCUUUAAGCGGAAUCUUCGGAGGAAGCUUAAAGUAUCUUAGCGGCGGACGGGUGAGUAAUGCGUGAGGAACCUGCCUUUCACAAGGGGAUAGCCUCGGGAAACUGGGAUUAAUACCCUAUGACACCUAAGUAUCGCAUGAUACUUAGGUUAAAGCGCAAAGCGGUGGAAGAUGGCCUCACGUCCCAUUAGCUAGUUGGUGAGGUAAAGGCUCACCAAGGCAACGAUGGGUAGCCGGCCUGAGAGGGUGACCGGCCACACUGGGACUGAGACACGGCCCAGACUCCUACGGGAGGCAGCAGUAGGGAAUAUUGCGCAAUGGACGGAAGUCUGACGCAGCGACGCCGCGUGAGUGAUGAAGGUCUUCGGAUCGUAAAGCUCUGUCCUUGGGGAAGAAGGCGAAAGCUUGACGGUACCCAAGAAGAAAGCCCCGGCUAACUACGUGCCAGCAGCCGCGGUAA